rnacentral:rRNA from 1 species
GACGAAGGUGGCAAGCGUUGUUCGGAAUCACUGGGCUUAAAGGGCGCGUAGGCGGCUUGUCAAGUGUCUGGUGAAAGACCCCGGCUCAACCGGGGAAUUGCUGGGCAAACUGACGAGCUUGAGGCAGGUAGGGGCAAGUGGAACUCUUGGUGGAGCGGUGGAAUGCGUAGAUAUCAAGAGGAACGCCGGAGGCGAAGGCGACUUGCUGGGCCUGUCCUGACGCUGAGGCGCGAAAGCCAGGGGAGCAAAC